rnacentral:rRNA from 1 species
UACAGAGGUGGCAAGCGUUGUUCGGAAUUACUGGGCGUAAAGGGCGCGUAGGCGGCCUACUAAGUCAGACGUGAAAUCCCUCGGCUUAACCGAGGAACUGCCUGUCAGACUGCAUGGCUUGAGACCGGGAGAGGUGAGUGGAAUUCCCAGUGUAGCGGUGAAAUGCGUAGAUAUUGGGAGGAACACCAGUGGCGAAGGCGGCUCACUGGACCGGUACUGACGCUGAGGCGCGAAAGCGUGGGGAGCAAACAGG